AUUGAACGCUGGCGGCAUGCUUUACACAUGCAAGUCGAACGGCAGCGCGGGCUUCGGCCUGGCGGCGAGUGGCGAACGGGUGAGUAAUACAUCGGAACGUGCCCAGCAGUGGGGGAUAGCUCGGCGAAAGCCGGAUUAAUACCGCAUACGACCUGAGGGUGAAAGCGGGGGAUCUUCGGAACUCGCGCUAUUGGAGCGGCCGAUGGCAGAUUAGCUAGUUGGUGGGGUAAAGGCCUACCAAGGCGACGAUCUGUAGCUGGUCUGAGAGGACGACCAGCCACACUGGGACUGAGACACGGCCCAGACUCCUACGGGAGGCAGCAGUGGGGAAUUUUGGACAAUGGGCGAAAGCCUGAUCCAGCAAUGCCGCGUGUGUGAUGAAGGCCUUCGGGUUGUAAAGCACUUUUGGCGGGAACGAAAAGGACUGUGCCAAUACCACGGUUCGAUGACGGUACCCGCAGAAUAAGCACCGGCUAACUACGUG
rnacentral:rRNA from 1 species